CGAGCCCAAAUUUGGGUCAAAAAUCAACAAAAGAGAGCAAAUUAUUCCGGGUUUGGUUCCAAAAUGGUCCAAAAAUGGCAAAAAGGAGCCCAAAUUUGGGUGAAAAGUGUCCAGAAAGAGCCAAAAGGAGCCAAAAUUUGGGUCAGAAUAUGGGAAAAGAGCCAAAAAUAGUCCGGAUUUGGGUCCAAAAUGCCCAAAAAAGGCCAAAAUUAAUCCAGAUUUGGGUCAAAAAAUGCCCCAAAAAAGCCAAAAUUAAUCCAGAUUUGGGUCCAAAAUGGCUGAAAAAAGCCAGAAUUAGUCCAGAUUUGGGGCAAAAACCGAAAGUUUGAGUGAAAAAUGCAAAUUUUGGGGUUGAAAUGGGUCAGGAAAGCGGAAAAGGCCAAAAAUAGCUCCGGGUUUUGGGGGGAAAUGGGCAAAAAGAGGCAAAAAAGAGACAAAAGGAGGCGAAAUUUGGGGCAAAAGUGGGAAAAGAGACAGAAUUUGGAUCAAAAAACGGCCAAAAGAGAUAAAAUUAAUCCAGAUUUGGGUCCAAAAUGGGCGAAAAAGGGUCGAAAUUAAUCCAGAUUUGGGUCCAAAAUGGAAAAAUGAGCCAAAACCAGUCCAGAUUUGGGUCCAAAAUGGGCAAAAAAGGGUCAAAAUUAAUCCAGAUUUGGGAUAAAAUGGGCAAAAAGGGCCAAAUGAGCCCAAUUUUGGGCAAAAGCUGGAGGAAAAGCGCCAAAAUCAGUCCAGAUUUGGGUCCAAAAUGG